UACGAAGGGGGCUAGCGUUGCUCGGAAUUACUGGGCGUAAAGGGCGCGUAGGCGGACGGGCAAGUCAGGGGUGAAAUCCCACGGCUCAACCGUGGAAGUGCCUUUGAUACUGCUCGUCUGGAGGGAGGUAGGGGCGUGCGGAACUUCCGGUGGAGCGGUGAAAUGCGUAGAUAUCGGAAGGAACACCGGUGGCGAAAGCGGCGCGCUGGACCUCUACUGACGCUGAGGAGCGAAAGCGUGGGGAGCGAACAGG
rnacentral:rRNA from 1 species